rnacentral:misc_RNA from 1 species
GAUGAAGAACGCAGCGAAAUGCAAUACUUGGUGUGAAUUGCAGAAUCCCGUGAACCAUCGAGUCUUUGAACGCAAGUUGCGCCCGAAGCCAUUAGGCCGAGGGCACGCCUGCCUGGGCGUCACACGUCGUUGCCCCCCCAUCUACUCCUUCGGGAUUGCGGGGGGCGGAUGAUGGCCUCCCGUGCGCCUCGCCGCGCGGUUGGCAUAAAUGCCAAGUCCUCGGCGACGCACGCCACGACAAUCGGUGGUUGCGAAACCUCGGUUGCCCGUCGUGUGCGGUCGUCGCGCAUCGAGGGCUCGAAAAAAUUGCCGGGUUCCGGCUCGGCUUUCAACGCGACCCCAGGUCAGGCGGGGUUACCCGCUGAAUUUAAGCAUAUCAAUAAGCGGAGGA